rnacentral:misc_RNA from 1 species
GGUCAGAGUGCAAGCAAGACGCAAAAAUCACCGACACAUCUCACAAAUCAAAUGCAAACUGCCAAAAUAACAAUACAUUUCAUAGAUCAAAAGCAAAAUGCAAAAAUCACCAACAAAACAACAAAAAUACCAAGAGAUUAACUCAAACAUAUGUCACAAUCAUAGAACCAAAAUAUUUGUAAAUUGACCCAUGAGUAAUAUCGUCUAUCGAACCUAGAGGCGAUUCUUGGACAUGGGCGAGGUGAACCCAAGUUGACCCUUGAUUAUUGUUAUUCUGGACAGCAGAGGCAAACCUAGAAGCGAACCCAAAGGCGAGGUAAGGCAAGUAUUGCCGUCUGUCGAUGUGAGUGUGGGUACAACUAACGAAGAAGAAGAAGAAGAAGAA